GAACCCAGCUGUGGCAGCAGCCCCAAUUAGCUUCAGCUGGAAGCUGUUUCCUGGUUGGUUGGUUUGUUUGCUUGUUUGAAACAAGUCUAGGCUGCUCUCAAAGUUGAUAUGUAACAGAGGAAGACCUUGCACUCCUGACCCCUGCCUCUGUAUCCCGACUGCUGUGAUCACAGGCAUGGUCAUCAUGCCUGCUUUAUGCUGUGUUGGGGAACAAGCCCAGGGCUUCGUACAUGCUGGGUCUCCAACUACUGCCCAAGAGCACCGGCCAACCCCUCUUCUUCCCUAUAAGGGGUCACGUCUGACACCGGAAGCCACACCCCUAGGAUGCGGCCACCACUGCAAGUCCACUGGUGAACCAAGAUGCCACUACCCUCCACAGCAUCUGGCUCCUCUGGAUCCCAUCAGCCCUGCCACGCCAUAUACCAGCUUUUAGGGGAUCAGCAGUCCAAAACCCUCAUUUUAAGUUGUGACAAAAAUCUAUAUAACCCAAGACUGACCAUCUUGAUCAUGCUUGGAGCAUGUUAAGUCACUGGCACUGUCCACCACAGAGCUUUCUCAUUCCCAAAGGGAUACUCCGAGCCCACCACAAACUAAAGGCCCAGGCCUCAGCACCCAUGCUGUUUUUUGCAAAGUGGAAACUCUAGCAACUUCAUGUAAGUGGAA